rnacentral:lncRNA from 10 species
AUGGAAUUUUAGCUCCAGAUCAAUUUCAAGAACAAAUCAGGAAUCCCGAGAGGACCCGCAGACCCUCUGAAGGAAGCAGACUGCUCCUGUAGAACCCGGGAGACACCCCAAAUACUGGGAGUGCCCCAACUGCAGAAUUGGGAAAGGGAGAGCCUCCUGUACUGAACACACAGCUCCACUGGAGAAACUGAAGAUUCAGGGUCUCAGUCUGCCACCCUAGCUGGAGUGCAGUGGUGUGAUCAUCGCUCACUGAAGCCUGGAACUCCUGGGCUCAAGUUUCCUCCUGCAUCAGCCUAAGUAGCUGGGACUACAGGUGUGCAUCACCACCGUGCCUGGCCUGAAAAUAUUUAUUGAAAACCACCUUGUGUACAGAGUGCUGUGGAAGGAUGAAGAAGACAUUGGAGAUCUUCAUUCUGUUGUUGAGGAACUACCAUCUAAAUUGGAGCUGAAAGCCUGUGAAAAUUGAUGUAAAUGCUUAUGAAAUAGCGGAGAAAGGACAAAUGAGCACUUCGACAAAGAAAGGGGAGGGACAGGAUAUUUUGUGUUUCUUCCCACUCUGACAGUGGCUGCCAGAGGCUGCCUUUCUGCAGCAAACUUCCCAUGUUUUCUUUUUAUAAGGUUUUUGGCCACCUAUUAAUUUUCUUCAGCCUUCUCUGGUUGAUCUUGUUCUGAUUUAGUUUCCUUUUGGGCAAGGAUGUGGGUCUAAUCAUUAACUCAGCCUACAGGCUUGUUGCCUUCAAAGAGUAACUCCUUCAAUCCAGGGGGCUGCGGUGGGGAAACAAAUAUCCAACACUUUUAAAGGAAAGCCAAAAAAAAAAAAAAAAGAAUUUAAAUUUUGCUCUUUGAAAAUAAGAGAAGGGGCCGGGCGCGGUGGCUCACGCCUGUAAUCCCAGCACUUUGGGAGGCCGAGGCGGGUGGAUCAUGA